rnacentral:rRNA from 1 species
UUUCGCAAUGCCCGAAAGGGUGACGAAGCGACGCCGCGUGUGGGAGGAAGGCCUUCGGGUUGUAAACCACUGUUGGGAGUUAGGAAGUGUGGGGGUGUUAAUAGCGCCUCCACUUGACUAAAGCUCCAGAGGAAGCCACGGCUAACUCUGUGCCAGCAGCCGCGGUAAUACAGAGGCGGCAAGCGUUGUUCGGAAUUAUUGGGCGUAAAGAGCACGUAGGCGGCUGUGUAAGUCGGUUGUGAAAGCCUUCUGCUUAACGGAAGAACAGCAUCCGAUACUGCAUGGCUAGAGUGCGGGAGGGGAGAGUGGAACUUCUGGUGGAGCGGUGAAAUGCGUAGAUAUCAGAAGGAACGCCGGCGGCGAAAGCGACUCUCUGGCCCGUAACUGACGCUGAGUGUGCGAAAGCUAGGGGAGCAAACGGGAUUAGAUACCCCGGUAGUCCUAGCCGUAAACGAUGGGCACUAAGUAGAGGGGUUUUA